rnacentral:rRNA from 1 species
GUCCACGCUGUAAACGAUGAUUACUAGGUGCUGGCAACAUAAUUUCAGUACCCAAGCGAAAGUGAUAAGUAAUCCACCUGGGGAGUACGAUCGCAAGGUUGAAACUCAAAGGAAUUGACGGGGGCCCGCACAAGCGGUGGAGCAUGUGGUUUAAUUCGAUGAUACGCGAGGAACCUUACCUGGGCUUAAAUGCAGAACGCUUUUCUAGGAAACUAGAUUUUCUUCGGACGGUCUGCAAGGUGC